UCUUGUGCCAAAAGAAGAAGAAGAAGUCAGGAGCUCCACACAGCUGUGCUCUGCUUCAGAAUCUCUUGGGCCCAGAAGAGAGAGAGAAUUUCUGGUUUGAGUUGGAAAGAAGGUGGCUUGUCUAAGGACCAGAAAUGAUGCUAAGUAGGUGGCUUUAACAGCACUGAGUUGGUGGUAAUGGAAACAGAAAAAGAGAAACAAAAUCAGGAUAAAGGCUGCACAAAGCCACCUAAAAUCCAGCAAAAGCUCAGAGAAAUGAGUUUGCUUUGUGAUAACAAGCAAGUGUCUCUUCUUUUUUUGUGUGUGGGUGGUGGUACUAUUGGUCGUUUUUAAGUGAAUUUAUGGUGGGUUUUCAAGGCAGACAGGAAGGAGAUGUGGGUUUCUUAGGAG
rnacentral:lncRNA from 1 species